rnacentral:rRNA from 1 species
AUGUUGUUCGAAUGCAAAUUGGCAAUGGACGUGUGGAAGAUGCUCGGUCUUGAGCUUGUUAUCAAACAGGCACUAAAAGUUGACAAGGCAGGUGAGCUUGUGUUGGCACAUCUUCUGUGCCUUCCAAAACAACAAAUCCAAGUGUUGGGCUUGCCGAAGUUCAGAGAAAUGAUGGCAACAACGGCUUGGUAUUUGUGGUAUGAAAGGCGAAAAUUGACACAUGACGAAGAAACUCAAAGUGCAUAUCAAAUCAAUAUGUCAGUGAGAGGCUUAGUAGAAAAUUAUACCAUCUCUUACAGCCCAAAGGCUCACAUCCGUUCAGAUGCUUGGUUGAAACCAAAGUAUGAUUACGUGAAAUUAAAUGUUGACGCGGGAUUGAUAGUGACACACUCGCAGCAACAUUUGGAGCAGUUAUCCGGGACCAUAGGGGGAAAUUUAUAG